rnacentral:rRNA from 1 species
GACGAACGCUGGCGGCGUGGAUUAGGCAUGCAAGUCGAACGGUAUCAUCCUUUCGGGGGUGAGAGAGUGGCGAACUGGUGAGUAACACGUAGGUUAUCUACCCUCAAGACGGGGACAACCCAGGGAAACUUGGGCUAAUACCGGAUGUGAGCAACUUUUAGUUGUUUGAAAGGUGGCGUAAGCUGUCGCUUGGGGAUGAGCCUGCGUCCUAUUAGUUAGUUGGUGAGGUAACGGCUCACCUAGGCAAUGAUAGGUAGGCGGCCUUAACGGGUGGUCGCCCACACUGGGAUUGAGAUACGGCCCAGACUCCUACGGGAGGCAGCAGUCGAGAAUAGUCUACAAUGGUCGGAAGACUGAUAGUGCGACGCCGCGUGAACGAUGAAUCCUUCGGGUGUAAGUUCUUUUAUAUGUGAGCAGUGCUUCUUAUAUUAACAGUAUGGGGAGAGAGAUAUUAGCAUAUGAAUAAGCAACGGCUAACUCCGUGCCAGCAGCCGCGGUAAACUCGU